rnacentral:sRNA from 1 species
GACCAGACUACGAUCGCUGCCCGAUCUC